GAUGAUGAUGAUGAUGAUGAUGAUGAUGAUGAUGAUGAUGAUGAUGAUGAUGAUGAUGAUGAUGAUGAUGAUGAUGAUGAUGAUGAUGAUGAUGAUGAUCAUGUGGAUGUGCGGUAAUGCAACUAAAAUGUUCUGUAUCGCAACGCGCUUGUUCGGUAAAGCAUCUCUUGUUCGUUAUUGCAACUUUUUUGUUCGCUAUUGCAACUCCGUGUUCGGUUUUGUAACUUGAAUAAUUUUGUUUUUUUUAUUAAGUUGUUACGUCGUCAGCCGGCUCAAAAUAAUUUUCGUUCAAAGUUAAUUGGGCAGACAAAAAUUUGUUUGGUGAGUGAAGUAAAAAAUUGAUAUUAAAACAAAAUUGUGUUUUUGAGAAGUAAAUUUAUGGAAAUCUAAUAUAUAUCAGUAGCUUAUAUAAUUAUACAUGUGUUUAAAGUUUUGAAAUUUUUUUAUUUAAUUUUUAUUUACAAAUUUUACACGAUAAAAGCUAUUAACUAAAAAGUGUACAAAUAUUUUUGAGUACUAUCAAUUUUGAAGUUUAUCCAACUUUACAAAUCAAUUUGUGAUAUACCUAAAAGGUAUAAGCUGGCUUGAAUCAAAGUAAUUUAUAUUGAUUUCUACUCAACAAUUGAGUAAAAGUUCAUUUAAACCACUCUGAUACUAGAUAGCUAGAAUCUAAGUUAUGGAAGUAAACUUCUACUUAAAAUUUCACCUUAAACAUUACAAAUUUAACCAGCUUAUAAUAAUGUUAUUAAUAAUAUACUAUUAUUUAUUUCUUAAGUUUAUAAUUGUUUAGUAUUUGUUUACAAUAUUAAAAUAUUUUAUUCAUAAAGAUUAUUUUUAGAUUAGAUUUUGUCCUUUUUACUCAAGACAAAAUUUAAUCUAGAGAUAGCUAUUUUAAAGAACUCUAUUGACAAAGUUUAGAUGCGGAACUUGUUAUUUGCAAGUCCAGGAAUUUUAAAAGGAAGACUAAAUUAAAUUUACUUGGAAGCAUACAAAAGAUUCUCGUAAUAUGCUUCGUAUCAUUAGGUAUGGUACCGUUAAAAAUCUGUCAGUUAAACAACAAAUAGUUUUGAAAAAAAAAAAGAGUAUGACGAAAUGGGUCUAAAAUUUAAAAUUGAGUGGAAACAAAUCUGUAUAUAUAGCUUGUGUUUUAAAAUCCAAGUUUUUUUUUUUUUUUUAAAUAUUGUUCAAGUAUUUAUACACUCGUAAGUUUUUAUUUUUCACGCUUAAAAGAUAAAAUUGUUUUAGGGUAAAUGCCAAUGUGUGGUAUUUUAUGGGUGUAA